CGCUGAGCCACGGCUAUCGGGUUUCCUUCUGAGCUCCCGGCGGCCCCAGCGCGCCGCCGGAAGUGUGUUCCUGAUUCUGGAGGACUCGUCUCACCCCCGAGGAGGAUGGUGGCAGUAUCUGAACCUUGGGUUGGAAAAGCUGCUGAGUGCUCAGAGCUUGGUGAGCCCUUGUGGGAACUUGGAGGAUCAACCCGAGAGCAGUGCCGACAGACAACGGAGGCCUGGCUUGUGAGGUGCAGAGAGUUAUAAAAUCUAACUUGAAUUUCCCAGUGUGAAGGCAUGACAUCCAUGGCAGAGGCUCAGAAGCCGCGACCUGAGGCAAACUGGAAAGCAAGUGGAGAUGAAGCAUGAGGACUUUUCUCAU